rnacentral:rRNA from 1 species
CAGCACCUCAAGUGGUCAGGAUGAUUAUUGGGCCUAAAGCAUCCGUAGCCUGCUUUGUAAGUUUUCGGUUAAAUCCAUACGCUCAACGUAUGGGCUGCCGGGAAUACUGCAAAGCUAGGGAGUGGGAGAGGUAGACGGUACUCGGUAGGAAGGGGUAAAAUCCUUUGAUCUAUUGAUGACCACCUGUGGCGAAGGCGGUCUACCAGAACACGUCCGACGGUGAGGGAUGAAAGCUGGGGGAGCGAACCGGAUUAGAUACCCGGGGGUAGUCCCAGCUGUAAACUAUGCAAACUCGGUGAUGCAUUGGCUUGAUGCCAAUGCAGUGCCGCAGGGAAGCCGUUAAGUUUGCCGCCUGGAAGUACGUACGCAAGUAUG